AACGCACCUUGCGCUCUUUGGUAUUCCGAAGAGCAUGCCUGUUUGAGUGUCAUGAAAAUAUCAACCUUGACUUGGGUUUAGUGCUCUUGUCUUGGCUUGGAUUUGGCUGUUUGCCGCUCGAAAGAGUCGGCUCAGCUUAAAAGUAUUAGCUGGAUCUGUCUUUGAGACUUGGUUUGACUUGGCGUAAUAAGUUAUUUCGCUGAGGACAAUCUUCGGAUUGGCCGAGUUUCUGGGACGUUUGUCCGCUUUCUAAUACAAGUUCUAGCUUGCUAGACAUGACUUUUUUAUUAUCUGGCCUCAAAUCAGGUAGGACUACCCGCUGAACUUAA
rnacentral:misc_RNA from 3 species